rnacentral:rRNA from 1 species
AUGCCUAACAGCUAGCCCACUCAAACAACUUCAACAAAACGAUAUUUAUAGCCCCAAAAGACACUAAUUUUAAGUUAAACAAACCAUUUUUCCCCCUUAGUAUAGGCGAUAGAAAAG